UACGUAGGGGGCAAGCGUUGUCCGGAAUCAUUGGGCGUAAAGAGCGUGUAGGCGGCCAGAAAAGUCCGCUGUGAAAACUCGAGGCUCAACUUCGAGCUGUCGGUGGAAACUUUCUGGCUAGAGUCCGGAAGAGGAGAAUGGAAUUCCUGGUGUAGCGGUGAAAUGCGCAGAUAUCAGGAAGAACACCCAUGGCGAAGGCGGUUCUCUGGGACGGUACUGACGCUGAGACGCGAAAGCGUGGGGAGCGAACAGG
rnacentral:rRNA from 1 species